GUAGGCCCAACUUUCGGCUGAAAACAAAUUGUAGCUUCUUGGACAUCAUAUUCUUACAAUGCCUUUACUACAAUCUUGAAUUCUAUUUGCAGGUCUCUCUAGAAGAACUGGAAAAUGUGAAAUCAUGUUCGUUUAUAAAUUGUUGACCCUAUUAAGUUCAACUUUAUUAAGAGUAUUUGAUCUACAUAAACCCAGGUACUCCAAACCUGAAACACACUGAAGACCUACAUAAAUAUUCAUAAAGACAAAAGGGUCAGUGGAUAAAAGCACAUGCCUGGAAAGCCUAACCUGAGUUCUAUCUCUGGAACCCACAGAAGGUGGCUUAGGAAGACAUGACCUGCACUGUCCAAAGCCUCAGCUACAGAGGUGUCCCUGCAAAGACCCCUGGACUCACAACACAGGGCCGGGGGUGUCAGCAUAUCAUCUGCAGUAAGGAAAGCCAACACCAAGUGUGCCACAAGAAACAACUAAAGGCUGCUGGCAUCGCGGUCAGCCAUGUUGAAAUCAGCCAAGCACAGUGAAGCUCAUCAAUGGUUCCAGGACUCGGAUGCUGAAGCAAGACAAUCCCAAGUUCAAGGACAUGAGCAACACAUAAGAGCCUCAGAAACAAAGCAAAAAGCCAAGCUAUGUAGGUUCUACAAACAAGCAUGGAAUCACUUCAUCUAGUUCGGCAAACCAAACUGGUAACUUCAGAGCACAUUAAUAAUAAUGAUGAUAAAUCAUUUAUAUUGAACCUGAAGUGCUGAGUGGUGGCAUUUUUAUUUAAGAAUCUAGAAUUGUCAGCUAAAAUCACCAUGGACUUCAGACACAGAAUGCAUUCCUGCUCAGGGAUUAGGAACUGAAGAGGAACCAAAAAAGAACAAAGACAAGAUGACGCUGAGGGUCUCCUAAGAUCACCUCAAGCUUGAGGAUUAAGUAGAAUUUACAGCAUGAAGGAAUCACUGUAUUCACAACUAAACUUUGUUAUAGUAAAAAGAUGAAAACCAAAAUUAGCAAUAGGAAGACGUGUAUGCAGAAAAAUCCAGCAGAAACUAGGCAUCAGCUACCACCCUGAUGGGGUCACCCAGAACACAGUAGUCCCUUCAACCACAGGUUGAGACAACACACUUGGAGUGCCAUCUAUCUCCCAGGAACUAUUAGAGAAUCAAUACCAAAGAUUUUAUAAAAAUGACGACAGUUCUAGGUUUCUCAAGAGAAAGUAAAUAGUGUCUGUGUUUUACACAGACUGGGGCACAAUGAGCUGCCAUUCUUAUUAUUUAACGGUAGUUUUCAUCAGUGUGGGAAUCACACUGAUGGGUAAGUUCCAAGCACAGGUCAAUCUUACAACAAAACUUUCUAAGGACAAGCAGUUCAAGGUCAACUAUGUCAACAGUUUUCUGCACAAGGAGGGACUAAGAACAGAAGAGGAAAACCAAAAGUGACCCUGCCAAGCCAAGUAAAAGCAACAUAUCAUGAAAGAAGUGAGAAAAUACUUCAUAAAGAUGACAUUUUUUGGGGGGGGGGGUUUUCGAGA